CUAACGCUGGGAAUAUUUUAAGAUAAAAUGGCUUGCCAUAGCUGGACUUUCACUUUCCACUCCACAGGACCACUUCCUUGAUUAGGCUAUAUGUAGAUAUAUAUUAGUUUUACAAACAAACAAUAAAUAAAUGAAUAAACAAAUAAAUAAACAAACAAAUAAAUAAAUUCAUUAAUGUAUUAUGUAGGCUAACUAUUUGCCUUCUUUCUAUAGGCUAAUUUAAAAACCUGCUGAAACUUAUAUAAAAUGAAUCCGUUUCCCUCAAGAAGUCUUUUGACAUUUUCCCCCAUAUUACAAAAUCAUUAGUUGACACAUCGCACAAUCCCCUUCAGCUGUCCGAGUAACAGGAAGUGACGAAACUGCACUAGAAUCAUAUCGCUUUAUAGAGGUCGGCGGAUUGUUGGAGAACAUUAGCGACAUCCCAAUAUCAGGGAUAAAGAGUCACACGUCUGCUCAUCCUUGUCUUUCACACACUGAACUUAUUUUGAUCACUUGAGACUAUUUUAUAAACGAACAGACUUAGGACCAAACAGAAGAAUUCCUUUAGGGGUAGUAUUACAAAUAAAGUAACUCGAUCUCAUCAUCAUUGGGACACACAGCGGAGGUCCGAAUAAAGCAGCGGGACAAGGACACCUGUAUCCGUCACAUAAGGGCCACUGCUGAAAAUUUAUCCUCAUCCAGAGGAGUGGAAACCCAAAACUUGAGCCAUGGGGGAUUAUUACGAGAUCCUGGGUGUGACGAAAAAUACAUCCCAUGACGAUAUAAAGAAAGCGUAAGUACUCCGUGUCCUGUCAUGGGCGUCUAUUUUUAAACAAGGAACAUAGUGGAGCAGUAAUGAUAACAGUGACUGCAGCACAGGGGUUAGUUGAUACUGUCCAUGUGAGAACUCUGCUCUUUGCUGCUUGUCCCUAUUAAUGUGUGUUUGUCUCAAUUCCUCGCUUCUGAUGUUCUCUAUUUAAAAACAACAACAAAAACAUCAACCCUCUAUAUUAAUAACAAGGAAUUAAG
rnacentral:lncRNA from 1 species